ACGAUCCAUAGCCGACCUGAGAGGGUGGCCGGCCACAUUGGGACUGAGACACGGCCCAAACUCCUACGGGAGGCAGCAGUGGGGAAUAUUGCGCAAUGGGGGAAACCCUGACGCAGCAACGCCGCGUGAGUGAAGACGUAUCUCGGUAUGUAAAGCUCUAUCAGCGGGGAAGAAGGAAGACGGUACCCGACUAAGAAGCCCCGGCUAACUACGUGCCAGCAGCCGCGGUAAUACGUAGGGGGCGAGCGUUAUCCGGAUUUACUGGGUGUAAAGGGAGCGUAGACGGCGUCGCAAGUCUGAAGUGAAAGCCCGUGGCUCAACCGCGGAACCGCUUUGGAAACUGCGAGGCUGGAGUGCUGGAGAGGUAAGCGGAAUUCCUGGUGUAGCGGUGAAAUGCGUAGAUAUCAGGAGGAACACCGGUGGCGAAGGCGGCUUACUGGACAGUGACUGACGUUGAGGCUCGAAAGCGUGGGGAGCGAACAGGAUUAGAUACCCUGGUAGUCCACGCGGUAAACGAUGAGUGCUAGGUGUCGGGGGGCAAAGCCCCUCG
rnacentral:rRNA from 1 species